AUUGAACGCUGGCGGCAGGCCUAACACAUGCAAGUCGAACGAGUGGCGGACGGGUGAGUAAUGUCUGGGAAACUGCCCGAUGGAGGGGGAUAACUUCUGGAAACUGUAUCUAAUACCGCAUACCAUCGGAUGUGCCCAGAUGGGUCUGGCUUGUAGGUGGGGUAACGGCUCACCUAGGCGACGCCCCCUAGCUGGUCUGAGAGGAUGACCAGCCACACUGGAACUGAGACACGGUCCAGACCCCUACGGGAGGCAGCAGUGGGGAAUAUUGCACAAUGGGGGAAAGCCUGAUGCAGCCAUGCCGCGUGUAUAAAGAAGGCCUUCGGGUUGUAAAGUACUUUCAGCGGGGAGGCGUUACCCGCAGAAGAAGCACCGGCUAACUCCGUGCCAGCAGCCGCGGUAAUAC
rnacentral:rRNA from 1 species